UACGUAGGGGGCGAGCGUUGUCCGGAUUUAUUGGGCGUAAAGAGCUCGUAGGCGGUUUGGCAAGUCGGGUGUGAAAACUCCGGGCUCAACUCGGAGACGCCACUCGAUACUGCUAUGACUCGAGUCCGGUAGGGGAGUGCGGAAUUCCUGGUGUAGCGGUGAAAUGCGCAGAUAUCAGGAGGAACACCGGUGGCGAAAGCGCUCUGCUGGACCUAAACUGACACUGAGGGACGAAAGCUAGGGGAGCGAAUGGG
rnacentral:rRNA from 1 species